GCCUUCGUGGUGAAAUGGUUAGCACACUCGGCGCGUAUUCGAGAGACGCGAGGUUCGAGUCCCGGCGAGGACA
rnacentral:tRNA from 1 species